UUAAUUGAAGCCAAAAAGAGGCUUAUCACUGUUAAUGGUAGAAUUGAGAUAAACACUCCAAUUAAG
rnacentral:tRNA from 1 species